rnacentral:misc_RNA from 1 species
UACAUUCACGUAAUAUGCAAAAUUUGGUUAGAUAAAGUACUAAUUAUUCAACACAGAACCUUUAAAAAGAGAGCAGAGCAGAAGUCAACAAUCGGAUAAAGCCUCCUCCUUAAUCUUGCAUCUCCCUCUCCUGGAUGACAUCGUUUUACCCAUAAUUUACCUGCCGAAUUGUAUAUAAUGGCUGUCCAUGAGAAACUGCAUUGUGGUCUCAAAAAUUCUUGAUAAAGAUCUCCGAAUCAAUUUGCUGUACGUUUGGGAAGAUCUGUCUUAGUCUGGCACGAUAGUAGGGAGUCUUUG